CCGGUUCAAGGUCAAUAAAGAAUUCAACAUCACGUUCUGGGGGUAGACCGGGAAGCUCUUCAGGAAAUACAUCAGGGAAUUCUCUAACCACAAAAAUAUUAUUCAAAUCUGACUUGUCUUUAUUCAAAUCCAUAACAUGGGCUAAGAAAGCUUGACAUCCGUUUUUCAAUAAACGAAUAGCUUUGUGGCUUGAUAUGACAGUGACUGAUUUUAG
rnacentral:lncRNA from 1 species